ACGGGAGGCAGCAGUAAGGGAUAUUGGGCAAUGGGGGCGACCCUGACCCAGCCAUGCCGCGUGAGGGAAUGAGGCCCUACGGGUCGUGAACCUCUUUUGCCUGGGGAUAACGGCGCGGUCGUGAACCGUGCGUGCAGGUACCAGGCGAAUAAGCAUCGGCUAACUCCGUGCCAGCAGCCGCGGUAAUACGGAGGAUGCGAGCGUUAUCCGGAUUCAUUGGGUUUAAAGGGUGCGCAGGCGGCCGGCCAAGUCAGCGGUGAAAUCCGGGGGCCCAACCCCCGAAGUGCCGUUGAUACUGGUUGGCUGGAAUGCGGUCGAGGCGGGCGGAAUGUGGCGUGUAGCGGUGAAAUGCAUAGAUAUGCCACAGAACUCCGAUAGCGAAGGCAGCUCGCCAGGCCUGCAUUGACGCUCGGGCACGAAAGCGUGGGGAUCGAACAGGAUUAGAUACCCUGGUA
rnacentral:rRNA from 1 species